GCCGGGUACAGAUAGCAUCUCAUCCAUUGUACAAACUUUUGUACUAUAUGUUCGUUAUGUAAUUCUGGCUGAAUAACUACCUAGAAUAUCCUUUCUCAAUUGUGGAGCAUUGUUGAGACACCUAAAUGAUAGAAAUGUCAUGGAUUAAUCAACUAAUGAUGGUACCUACUAUUGGUUCCCUAUCCCAUAAUCAUGGAUGAAGAUCAAUGAUGGAAAGCCAGAUAUAAAUCAGUUCCACCCACAAGAAGGAGUCUUUCCAACGGGUACUUACUAUUGGUUCCCUAUCUCACAAUCAUGGAUGAAGAUCAUUGAUGGAAAGCCAGAAAUGAAUCAGUUCCACCCACAAAACGGAGUUUUUCCAACGGGGGUGGACUGGGAAAUAAAGUCAGUUCAUCAGAAUUUUUGUCAAAGAAAAUUUUCUUUCAUCAGCAUAUUGUUAGCGCAACAUUGGUCGGUACAGCGUUAGCAUGCUACGAUGUAUUUCUUCUUUUCAAGAAUUGCUGAUAACAUGACCAGGGCUUGUCUAAAGGAAAUGGACACUUUUGGACUUGAAAAUGUUAACAAAAACUGUUACUAAAAUGAUUGCGGCUCGUAUCAAGGGAUGACACAACUCUCAGGGCGGCCUUAAACCAGGAAAAUAUGAUAAUCGUCACGGAAUUCGAUGAAACCAGAAGUUAUCAUGGGAAUUCCAACGAAAGUUGAAACAAUCAGGGAAUGUUAAUGAAAAUAGAUCUUGAACAUUUCAAAUAAAAGUCGCGUUUUUUUUUUAUUAAAAAUCCUUUGAAAAGAAAUUGUUAGAAAUAACUUACUAGUCGUGAUUUUAUUACCUACCCAUUUACUUGCGUAUUUUGAAGAUAUUAAGACUUAAAAUUUCGUUAAACCGUUUGAAUUUUGAAUUUUUUCCGAGAAUCUUAAAGAUUAUUUUUAUGACUUCCCUGUUUACAAAUGGGUCAAAUGGGAACGUAAAAUGGUUUCAUUGACGAAAAUGUCUUGUAAAAUCCCACAUCAUCGACGUCUUGAGAUUUCUACAGUCUUCAACUCAAAAUAGGAGAAUGGACAGCUGUUCCCCUGGCUUUCCAUGGUAGUUUACGUCAGAUUAUGAUUAAUUAUUGAUAUAUGUUCAAAUGUACAAAUAGUGGAUUUACUGAACGGAAUUUCACUUAAAUCGAUUCAAUUUUUAAAUGGUUCAAUACAAUUUUAUUAGUUUAACUACAUUUCUUGUACAUCAUAAGAUUAAUUUGUUUCUUUUUCCAGAAUUACUUAAUUCCAUCUUCUCUUAUUUAUCUUUUUCCAAAUUGAUUUUAUAUAAACUACAGUCAGCAGUCAAAAUUUAAUUUAAGUAUUAUAUAUCAAA